GAUUUAAUUGUUAAGGAAAUGAAAAUUAGCAAAGGAACAGAAGACGAGCUCAUUGAUAGUCUUCCACACCUUCAUUUGGCAGAAGAAGAGUACACAAUAAAAAACAGAAGUCUACAAGAGCUCUAUGGGACACUUAAAGUGAAUGCUGCUACUGAGUGCCAUCCAGUGGAAAGGCAGGUUCAUAAAAACAUUAUAGUGUGUCCUCUUCCAUCUUAUUCUCCAAAUCUGGCACCAUGUGAUUUCUGGCUCUUCCUCAAAUGUAAAAAGGACCAAGAAAGAUAGAUGUUUUGAUGGAUUCAGGACAUUGGGGGAGCCAGGACAACUCAACUAAAGAUAUUCAAAAAGAAGAAUUCCAGAACUGCUUCAGAAAGUGGCAAGGACAAUGGGAUAAGUGUGUUUGAAGUGUGAGAAUUAACUUGGGGGGACUGAUGGCAAUGUGUCUUUUACUAUAGUAAUUUUUAAAAUUAAAACUUCACCGUGGUUUUCAAUCAUUCCUUAUACAUCACAUAUACUGAAUCUCUUAAGGUAAAGAAAAGAAAAAAAAUGUUGGAGAAAGCAAAGAAAAAGAAGGGGACAUAAGAGAAAGAAAGGAGACAGAACAUUAGAGCACCAGGCAUCAGUGUGUGGGAAAGUGCUCUGGCCAGAUGUUCCACUUAUAGACAGCAGGGCUCAGUUAACACAAAGAACAGUGUUGUGGCUUUUAGUUACAUGUCAU
rnacentral:lncRNA from 1 species